UCCGGGGGGGGCAAGCGUUGUUCGGAAUUACUGGGCGUAAAGGGCUCGUAGGCGGCCAACUAAGUCGGAUGUGAAAUCCCCAGGCUCAACCUGGGAACUGCAUCCGAUACUGGAUGGCUUGAAUUCGGGAGAGGGAUGCAGAAUUCCAGGUGUAGCGGUGAAAUGCGUAGAUAUCUGGAGGAAUACCGGUGGCGAAGGCGGCAUCCUGGACCGACAUUGACGCUGAGGAGCGAAAGCCAGGGGAGCAAGCGGG
rnacentral:rRNA from 1 species